GGACAGGGCAGCCUUUCUUUGUAUUUUCCAUAUUAAUUAUUGAGAAUUUUUUUGGGCGUUACCGGUCUGGUACUUGUUACUUUGUUAGAUUUCAAAACAAAGAAAAGGGAGCGAGCUUCAGGUUUAUGUUUGGAUCAGCUAUAAAUUUUCGGUGAAAAGCAGAAGGGAUGGCGAGUUGUCUAUGGAGGAGUCAUCCCCAACAACUAAUUCAAUAUCGCCAUCACUCCUCCGCCUU
rnacentral:misc_RNA from 1 species